rnacentral:tRNA from 1 species
UUUGUAAGGAUAAAAUCAGAUUCAUAAUCUGGGGGCCACAGGUUCGAUUCCUGU